UUUUUUUUUUUUCUUUUUUUUUUUUUGUUUUUUUAGAGCCAUACCCAUGGCAUAUGGAGGUUUCCAGGCUAGGGGUUGAAUUGGAGCUAUAGCUGCUGGUCUACACCGCAGCCACAGCAAUGCAGGAUUCAAGCCACGUCUGCGACCUACAUACACCACAGAGCACAGCAAUGCCGGAUCCUCAACCCACUGAGCGAGGCCUGGGAUGGAACCUGCGUCCUCAUGGAUGCUGGUCAGAUUCGUUUCUGCUGAGCUACAAGGCGAACGCCGAGGGAAACUUUUUUUUGUACAUCCUCACAGUGUGAGCUUAAAAACAACCAAACAGAAUUUGCCAUCAAUUAUUGGAGAUAUAAAGUCUCAUAGGAAUCUUUAAAAGUUGACUAAAGGGUAUCUGUGUUUUUAAAGUUAUACCACCUUUUUCCAGCUGCAAUGAACUGUUUUUAAAAACGGGGAGGGAGAGAUUGGGGGGGGGCACAGGAGGGGUACUGCACACUCACACACUCUCCCAGAAACACAGAACUGAAAUGUCAGUGGUCAUGUGAAGCCCUUCAGUGAGUACCAUUCUUAGAAUAUUUAACAAUUACACAGAAAAAUACCAACACUGUCUUUGGAAGGCCUUUAGCACUUUUUAAAAGUGAUCUCCUCAUCUACGACGGACUUAGACGGCAUUCACUUCCCCAAAGAACAUGUGAAGUCUUAAGUAUAAGAGACAGUGAUAUAGUAUCACUCCUCCAAAGCAAUACACAAAAUAAGUUUAAAAUAAAAAUAAAUCUUGGGGCAAGGGAAGCAAUGCAAUUGUAAUUGUAAUGGAAAGGGAAGGAAUUGCCGUUUAUUUCUUUUGCCUUCAAAUAAUUUUUUUUAAAAAACUGCUCUCAGACUUCUGACAAUGGAAGAGAAUUUUAUAAUUUGUUAUCAAAUGAGUCUAUAUGUUGGGAAGAAAGUUAUGUCUCCAGCUUUCCUCUGUAGAGGAAAUAGGAGUGUCCCAAAAGGUUUAUGUCCUCAAACAAGGCAUAUCCAUUUAUUUUUUAUUUUAUUUUAUUUUUGCUUUUUAAGGUCACACUUGUGGCAUAUGCAAGUUCCCAGGCUGGGGUUAAAUUAGAGCUGUAGUCGCUGGCCUACACCCCAGCCACAGCAAAGUGGGAUCCGAGCCUCAUCUGCUACCUACACCACAGCUCACAGCAACACCAGAUCCUUUACCCCCUAAGCAAGGCCAGGGAUCGAACCCAUAGCCUCAUGGAUCCUAAUUGGGUUCGUUAGCCACUGAGCCACAAAAGGAACUUCCACAUCCAUUCCAUCAACUGCAUGUUGAUGCAGCUGUCUAGGUCAUCGCAAGUCAACUAGAAGCCUUUUUUCACAGUAAACUAGAAAUCCCAUGGUUGGGUACAGGGGGCCUAGGUCUUGGAAAGCUUAAGGAUCACUCGGUAGUGAGCAUUUGAAAAAUGAGUCAGGAAAUAGUCAGUCAACAAAUAUUUACUGUGUAUCUGUCAACAAAGUUCUGUGGUAGAUAUUUCAAAGGACACAACUUUAUACAUACAUAUUUUUAACAGUUUCGGCCCCCCAAAAUUUGAUAAUUUCUAUAUUGGGAAGUGGAACUGGUGAAGUGGUAGAUAAGAGAAUACAAAAAGGCUUUUAUUUUGUUUUUUAAUUGACUUUUAUUUGGCUGCACUGCAGCACAUGGAAGUUCCUGGACCAGGGAUCAAACCCGCAGCAUAGCAGCGACCCUAGGUGCUGCAAUGACAAUGCUGGAUCCUUAACCCACUGCGCCACAAGAGAACUCCAAAAGCCUUUUAUUUUAAAUCAUAUUUAUCUCUAUAUAGCUUUUGUUAGUGUUCAAAGGUAUUUUACAUUCAUUAUCUUUUGACAAGAAUUCAGACGAAGCAGAGAGGGAAAGCGAUGAUCACCCCGAUUUUACAGAGACUGAGGGACCCAUUCCAGGUACUGAAUGCCUAGCAAGUGACAGAUGUAAGACCAGAUGUCUAGCCUCCUAACUACGAGUGAAGUGCUCCUUCCACUAGGGCAGCUAGUACCUCACAGGAAGAGCUAUAGAAGUCUACACGAUACAAAGAAAAGUUUGGGAUUUGGUUAAUUUCCUGUGCAGGGUGUGUAUAUGUGUGUGUGAGGAGAGGGAGGGACUGAUAUUCAUGCAAGAAACACUAUUUAGGGAGUUCCGUUGUGGCGCAGUGGAAACGAAUCUGGCUAAUAUCCACGAGGAUGCAAGUUCAAGCCCUGUCCUCACUCAGUGGGUCAGGGAUCCUGCGCUGACAUGAGCUGUGUGUGUAGGUCUAAGAUGCGGCUUGGAUCCCACAUUGCUUUGGCUGUGGUGUAGGCCAGCAGCUACAGCUCUGAUUGGAACUCUAGGCUGGGAACUCCUAUAUGCUACAGGUUUGGCCCUAAAAAGCAAAAAAAAAAAAAGAAAAAGAAAAAAAAGAAAGAAACAUUUUUAAUCCAUAUGUGUUCAAGACUCUACAUGAGCUGGAGUACAGAGGCAAAUAAACUAAGGAGGGAGGGAGCAAAGAGAUUAACAAAAAAUCAUUAUAAUACUGAAGGAUAAGUGCUAUGAAAACAUGCACAAAUCGCUACAGAAACACAGAAAAUUAUUUUUAAGAUUUUGAAGUGCUUUCUGUAUUAAAAAAAAAAAUGACGAACAAAGCCUUCGUCUCAAGAAUUUAGUGAAAUAAAAACAAAAGACUUUCAAGCAAAGCAGAAGGAAGGAGACGGUAAAAACAAAGGUAGAGAUAAAUGAAUGAGCAGAAACAAAUUCAAGAGCUCGUUUUGAAACAGGCAGAAAUAAUUCCUGAAGAGAAUACAUGUAUACAGAAAAUUACAAUUAAAAGGAGAUACAAAGAAUGAAUAUGGAAUUUUUACAUUAUGAAAAGAUGAACAACUCUGAGUAAACCGGAGAAUGUUAUGUUCAAUGCCGUGACUACAAACCUGAAACCUCAAUUUCUAAGAAAACAUAAUGACCAAAUUUACUCAAGAAGAGAAAAACAAAAUAGACCAUUAACUAGAAGAUAUUGAAAAAGUUAUCCAAAAAUUCCCCAACAUCAUAUGAAGAGCUUUACAAGUUAAUUUAGCUUAAACUUCCAAGGACAAAUAAUACCGAUGUUCUAUAAACGGCUCUAGAGCACAGAAGGGGGUAAAUGGUGCAAUUAAUUUUGUGACACAGGCUUACCUAUGUAUCAAAACUUGAAAACAAAGCACAAAAAGGAAUAUUUCUCAAUAUUUUUACCUCCUUCCAUGUUAGCCAAAAGAGCUUAAAGUUUUACUAACUCUAGUAUGAAUUAUGGCUGUAACAUGUAUAUUAAAUACUCCUUAGAGCUCCCAUGUGGCUCAAUGGGUUGAGCCAGUGUUGUCACCACAGUGGCUCGGGUCACUGCUGUGGUGUGGGUUCAAUCCCUAGCCCGGGGAACUUAGCCAAUCAAAAAAAAAGCCUCACGGAAGUUCCUGAUAUACCCCCUAGGGGUGACCACCCUCCAGCUUCCUUGGUAAUCACUGCUACAAACCCAUCUCAUUUUCCUAAUUGAAAUAAAAAAGGCUGAAUUCAGCAAUCUGUUAAAGGCCAGUAUAACAGGACCAAGUAGGAUUUAUCACAAGGAACCAAUAUCGGAAACUAUAUUAAGAGAUUAUAUCCUAUUGGUAGCUGAGAGGAAAACAUUACCAUCUAAACAGAUGUCAAAAAAUGUUCAAUAAAAAUUCAACUUCAGUCUUUAGGGGUAAAAAAGCCAAACUAAGAGUCAAAGAUUAUUGCCAACAACUAUCAUUACACUUAAUACUAGAAUCCCAAAGCAUCGCCACUACGGGCAUGACUAUCUGCUAUCCCCACUAUUUACAGGCUCUGGCCAAUGUAAUAACACAAGAGGAAAAAAGGACGAGUGUAUAAUUACUGAAAGGAGAGAGACCAAAUUAUAUCUAUUUACAAAUGAGUGAAUUAUCUACCUAGCACACACCUGGAAAAACCAAGAAAAUCAACUGAAAAAAAAAAUGUUAGAUUGAUAAGGAUACAGUCUGGAUUGUGGCCAAUUAUUAAAGGGGCACACACAAAAAACCUUUCUCACAUUCCACUUAAAAAAUUUAAUGGAGGAGUUCCUGUUGUGGCUCAGUGGCUAACGAAUCCGACUAGGAACCAUGAGGUUGUGGGUUCGGUCCCUGCCCUUGCUCCGUGGGUUAAGGAUCCGGCGUUGCCGUGAGCUGUGGUGUAGGUCACAGACGCGGCUCGGAUCCCACGUUGCUGUGGCUCUGGCGUAGGCUGGUGGCUACAUCUCCGAUUGGACCCCUAGCCUGGGAACCUCCAUAUGCUGCGGGAGCAGUCCUAGAAAAAGGCAAAAAAAAAGACCCCCCCAAAAAUUUAAAGGAAUAAGAAAAUCUACUUACCGUAAAUAUCUCAGUUCUUUCCAUAUUAAGUUAAAAAUUGAAUGCAGUAACAAUGAAAACACCAAAAGAUUGGUGGGAUACACAGAAGACCCUGAAAAGUGAUUUUUAAGCUUCUCUGGAAUAAAAUUUAAGUUUUCUUCUCAGUGCAAGAACCAAGGAACUUCUGAAACAAAGAAUAAUCACGGGGGCCUUGCACUGCCAGACACUGAAAGGUGUCACAAAACGCUAGUCAUUAAAAUGGUGUGUCGAGAAUAACAGACAAAACAAAAGAAAUAGAAUAAAAAGCAGAUCUGAGUAUACUGGCAAUCAAGCUAAUCAAUAAAUGCAGCAGGAAUAACUGGUUAACCAUUUGAGAGAAAUGAGACAAGUACUCCAUAUCAUGCACCACCUAAAUUCUAGAUGCUUUACAAGAAUUACAUGGGAAAAAAGCUAAAAUAUAAAAUAGUUCGAAGGACAUAUAAGUGACUAUUCAUCAGCUAUUUAGGUGGGAAAAGUUCCCCUAUACACAAAUAAAGGAAAACUUGAAUAACAAAAAUACAAAAGUAAAAGGCGGGCAAUAAACAAACUAGGAAAAAUAUUUGCAGCACCUGAUUAACCCAUAAUAACAUCCCUCAUCUAUGAAGAGCUCUGACAAGUCAAUGAGAAAAGACAUACAGAAGCAAAAUGAAUGAAAGCUACAUGAAUAAACAAAUCACAAAAGAACUAUAUUUGGCCAAUAAUCAUGGUAGGAGGAUAUUCAACCACGCAGUGCUUAGCAAUUAAGGAAAUACAAAUUAGUUCUCCAGUGAGCUCCUACUCAUCUCAUCCAACUUGGCAAAUAUUUUUAUCUCAUGACAGUUCCCAGGGAUGAGGAGGAUGUACCAAAUAUGCAUUCUCGUGCCCUGCCUGUCAGAGAAGAACGGGCAUCAGCCCUCUGGGUGGCUAUCUGACAACGCAAACCAAAAAUCUUUACAGACGUUAACUUGACAAUUCGCCUUCUUUUAAUUUACCCUAUGGAAAAUACCAGAGAUUUGCACAGAGAUUUAUGUGCAAGAAUGGUCACUGGAGGAUAAUUUAUAAUGGCAGGGGAAAAAAAUCCAUAGGAUGAAAUAUAAUACCAUAAUUGUAAUGACAUGGAAAAAUAUUCACAAUAUACUGGAUUCUGGUAAGUUGAAAAAGAGCCGGGUACAAAAUGUGCACAUCAUGAUUUCAAUUUUUGUCUAAACUAUCUCUUGUAUAAAUAUGUACCAUAAAUAUAAUCUAGAUAAAAUUAGGAUCAUACUGCAUACAUCACAUACAUAAUAGGCAGAAUUAUAAUAUUCUAAGAAAACACCAACACAAUAACACGGUGGUUAUCUUUGGAGAAUUAGAGGAGAUUUUUUUCCCCCUGCUUGGUAUUUUUCGAUAUUUUUAUAUUUUUCUAAGAUAACAAAUAAUGUAAUUGGGAAAAAAUAAUAUUUUAAAUAAGAAAUGAAAUGCUUCACUGCUUUACAUGCCCUACCUAUUGUGGUCACACACAAAGUUGCCUUUCAUAACCCACAUCUGGAACAUACUUUCAUUACCUCCAAUCACAUCCAGGGUACUAGCAGCUAAUUCUUACAUACACGGCACUUACACAUGGCCACCACUAUUCUAAAUGUUUUACGGAUAUUAAACCAUUUAAUCCUCACAACUAUUAUUACCCCCAUUUUAUAGAUGAAGAGUGAGGCUCAAGAAGAUUUAGGUGACUUACCCAAGACUGCUCAGCUAGUAAGAAGGAGCGCUAAGGAAAAACAAGCAAAACUGGCCAAAACCCACACUCUUAACCAGGGCGGGCUACUGCCUCUCCUGAUGAACUAUACUCUAAAGCAACACGACUGGCUUACAAUAUAAUGCCAGAACGUAAGCAAACAAAUAAGCACUAUCUCCCCUUAAAGUAGUCUCCAUGGGAAACUCUAUACAUAUCCAAAGAUGUGGUCACUGAUCAUUACGUUUUUGGAAAUCCUUCUUUUCACCAUCCCCAGGGGGCAGUAAACAAGCCUGCCAUAAGAAAGAUGAGAUUUCUUUCCAACAGCUGGGAAUCAUUCAGAUGCACGUCUUAAAGUGUGAUUAAAUUGCACAAUUCUGCUUGUGGUCACACCACAAGAAAAAUCGAUGAGGCUGAUUUUGCUAUUGUGCCCAUAACUUUUAUCUGCUCCCAGGAACUACAUUCACAAGUGGAUUUUAACAUUGACUACACUGCAUUAUUGCAAUUAUUUGUUCACAUGCCUAACUUCCUACUGAACUAAGGUCCUUCAUGGCAAAGAUUAGAUACCUUUCUCAUCCGUGAGUCUCCCGUCCUUGACACCCACAAUUCCUGGCACAAAAAAAGUAUGUAUUGUUUCUGAAUGAACUUUAUGAAGAAUGCCAGACAAAUGCUUUGAGCAAUGACAAUACAUUAGAAAAAAUAAAAAUACUGCCAAGAGGGCAUCUGAGUCUGUGUACCAACAUAAAACGUGCAUCUUUUUUUUAAAAGGUCAAAACAAACCCAAAUGUUUAUUUCACAAAUUAUGUUAAGAAGACAAUCACACUGUGCAACUUCCCUUGGCCAGGUCUGGGAGUCGCCUCUAUUGAGACCGUAUUGAAAAAAAAAUUAAAGUUAAGGAAUAAUUCCUAAAAUUCUGAAUAUGAAGGAAGCCAGACCUCAGUUUGUAAUAAGCUUUCUUAGAAUAUGAUAAUACUAGCUAUAGUCAUUUCUCACAAAACACAAGGGGGGACUACAUAUGCCUCAUUGCCUGAAAAGCAAUCUACCAAACCAAGGAUGCAGAAAUAACCAUAAACUUUCUCAGACAACGAUGCAAAAACACAUCUGCUACGCAGAAGACACCAGGAUGCAGCCUGCCUAUGGGUUCAAUCGACAAAGCACAACCUGGUGCCUGAAAUAUAAAUCAAAGAACCUUCCAUCCCUGUUACUUAUGGACGUCUGCUACCUGCAAAUUUCUAAUGUGUGCAAGAUGGGCCUAUUUUUAUUUACAGCACCAACCACAGACUGAAUGUAAAACAAGAUGCUUAAUAAAUCCAGGAGAACAUAAAACACCAGCAUAACUCAGACAGCAAGACAGACACUCACUCCUUAAUUAAGUGGGUGAUGUUCUGUUUAAAACAAAAAGACAACCCUGGGCCAUGGCUAAGAUUAAGCACUCAGUGUGGCGAGGGAAACGCCAACCAUUUUCAGGGCAGAGGCUUUAAAUCAUGAAAAAUAAACCAUCUGAUAGUCUGUAUUCAAUAGUAAGUAGACAGUCAGGACACAGACUGAUUUGGAUUAACACAUUUUCAGUUAUAACAAGUAAUUUUACAGAGGAUUAGUAUCUUGAUGGGCUGAUCAAUAUGAAGCACGGCUGCUAUUACAGAUGAAAAGAAAAUUGCCCCUCUGGUAAUAAAGUGUGCGUGUCUUCGUUCCCCUUCAUUUGCUGAGUCCAUUACUGUAAUGGUUCCAGCAUUAACAGCUGGGGCAAUUUAAGGAGCAGGGGUCUGAUGAAUUUAAAAGCUGGGCACCCAGGCUACUCAUCCUUUCCUUGCGGGCUGCAUAUGCAACUCCGCUGCCUGGAUGAUUCCAGCAAUGGAGUCGGGUUUUAUGAGAACAAUGACUAUGAUUUCCCAAUUAUUUGUCUCAUUAAUAGUGUUCCUGGCCAAUAAUGGGACUGAAACAAAAACUGCUCGAAGCAUAUUGGCUGUGGAGCCGGUGAAAAAAAUUGCACACCAUUUACCUAAAUAACAAGAUUGAAGAUUGACAUGACAACGGGCUGGAGUAUAUAGACACUGUAAUGUCUGCAUUGCUUUGCCAGGUGCUAUUCUCAAGCAAAAAAAAAAAAAAAAGAGGCAGGACGUUCAUGCAGACAGAAAAAAAAAAAAUCAGCAGCAAAAUUUUUCCAUCUCUGCUUUCAAAAACUGGCAAACAUGGACCGCUGUCCAUAGAAAUAGAAAAUCCAUAUUAAUGCAGUCUUGAGACUUUAAUCAUGCCCAGUACAGCAGAGUGAGUUAGGGUUGCCACAUCAGCCCAUUUUAUAUUAUUAUUGGAGAAAUGCUGGCCCUUGAGGCUCAGUGUUGAAGGCUUGAAUGAUCUGGUCGCUAAAUGAGGGUGCCAAAGGGCAGACUCAGGGCUAAUGCAGAAAUCAGAGCCCUGAAUUUUCUGAUCACAAACAGUUAUGGAAACACUCAUGCACUGGCAACAGAUCUCCCCCCUCAGAACCGAUGCAACACAAUUUGGUCCUUUAGACUGAGUUUUCCACGUGGUUUCUACCAGCUGAUCUCAACCCUGACACUCACCGACGGGGGGCGGUUCCUUAACAUAAAGGAAGGUGCAUCACCUCACAAGCAAGUCACUUCCAAAACUACGGGGCAAAUACAUGAUGGGCAGGGCAACGGGCCAGAUGCUUGCAGCAUAAUCAAAAAUGCAAGCCUAUAUAGCAGGUACUCAAGGUUCAGCUUUCGAACAUGUGCUGGCCUUGCAGAGAAAUGCAAUGCCAAGGACAAAUGUGUGGAGACAAGUAGCUACCAAUGCAAAUCUUAACAUGUUCUGACCCCACCCAACAGCCCCCAAGAUUCUUCCCAGCUGACACUGGAAAAUCAACUGCUGAGACUAUUUUGUAAGAUAACCUUACAACCGAAGGUUAAGUGAAUGAGGUUAGCAGAACUCUAAAUUCACCUUCUUCAAACUGUGCCUUUUUUUUUUUUUAGGUUCCAAAAGUACCAUCUCAACUAUAAAGUUCUUUUCUUCUACAAGUUAGAAAGUCAUACUUUAAAUAUAACUAUAAUCGAGAAAUCUGCCAUAAAGAACUAACCUCCACAAAACACCCUCAACAUGGAAAGAAAGCUAGCAUUUUGAAUUUGAAAGAGAACACUAGAAAACAAUUACAGACAGCUGCCUGUGCUAGAGAGUUUUGAUUCCCCAAAUUAACACCAGUAUCUAAUGGUAUGUUAAGUAAUGUGAAAUCGAACUGGUGGCCUAGUGGUUAAGGAUUCAGUGUUGUCUUUGCUAUGGCUCAGGUUCAGUCCCUGGCCCGGGAUUUUCCACAUGACACGGGCAUGGCAAAAAAAAAAAAAAAA
rnacentral:lncRNA from 1 species